ACUCCUACGGGAGGCAGCAGUGAGGAAUAUUGGACAAUGGAGGCAACUCUGAUCCAGCCAUGCCGCGUGCAGGAAGACUGCCCUAUGGGUUGUAAACUGCUUUUAUACAGGAAGAAACCACUCUACGUGUAGAGUUCUGACGGUACUGUAAGAAUAAGGAUCGGCUAACUCCGUGCCAGCAGCCGCGGUAAUACGGAGGAUCCAAGCGUUAUCCGGAAUCAUUGGGUUUAAAGGGUCCGUAGGCGGUUUUAUAAGUCAGUGGUGAAAUCCGGCAGCUCAACUGUCGAACUGCCAUUGAUACUGUAGAACUUGAAUUAUUGUGAAGUAACUAGAAUAUGUAGUGUAGCGGUGAAAUGCUUAGAGAUUACAUGGAAUACCAAUUGCGAAGGCAGGUUACUAACAAUAUAUUGACGCUGAUGGACGAAAGCGUGGGUAGCGAACAGGAUUAGAUACCCUGGUAGGAUAGCGU
rnacentral:rRNA from 1 species